rnacentral:ncRNA from 1 species
ACAAAGGCUGUGAAGGUGCCAGUAGAUAUUUAUUUUCUGCCAGAGAGGGAGAGUCACCGGCUGAAAGCUUUCCUCAGUUCAGAUAAGUAUUGAGUUUCACACCGGAGCCGCACUUCUGAAACCCAGUAGGUUGUGCCGUUGCUGUGCGUUAAACAGGAAAGAGUGCCUGCCGUUCACGGCGGGAACAAGGGUGGUACCACGGAUAUUUUGCUUCGUCCCUUUU